CGAAGGAGAAGAUGGUCCCUCCCCAGGCCAGGCCGUAGCCCCAGUUGAACUCGUGGUAGAUCCUCAGGUUGAUGCUCUCGAUGAACUUGAUCGGGUAGAGGACCAAGCUGCAGGCCUGGAGGACAACUGGGGGAGACGAGCAGACGGUGUGUGCGUGUUUUAGCGCAUAAUGAACGCGUGGCCCUCGACCCAGGGCUGUGUGUGCGCUGACCUGCUGCGAAGAGCAUGAAGGCGACAGGUGUGUAGAAUCGGCGUCUCGUGCCGAUGCACACGGCAACCAGAGCGACCAGGAACGACAUCAGCACCAGGGCUCCACCCCCUAGCAACAGUGCCAGCGUAGCAACCUGCCAAUCUGGAAUGGAGGUGGUUAGGAGGGGGAUGAAAGGAGGAGAGGAAAUGAAGAGAGGAAAGUGAGAAAAGCUCCUCCAGUCAGCAUCCAAUCCUGCUCCUCAUUCAUCAUCGUGUUACAGCAGGACUCCAGGGGGGAUUCUGCCUUAGCAGAUAUCAGCAUCACAACCCUUUCCUUAUCCUAAUUCAGGAUGGAGUCCAAUCGCCAAAGACUUUGCACUAUUCAAAUAUAUGCAAUUGUAAUAAAUUAUUGU